rnacentral:snoRNA from 1 species
UGAUUAUGAUGAGAACCCACUUCAUGGUCCUGUUUCUGAAAUAAAUGAUUUUGUAGAAAUUCUGAUUCC